CGAACUCUCUUCUUCAGACAUACUCUGUUCUUCCUCUCAACUCUCUUUUUUCUAUCUCAACUCUCUCAGACAAAUUCCAUUCUAUCAUCAACGCUCUCAGGCAGAUUUCAUAUCGAGAUUUCAGAUGAAAAGAUAUAGCAAGUUCAAUUGAAGAUUCUAAGUAGCUGAAAAAACCUUAUUUUCAACCAGAGACGAAACCCCAGAAUUCGGCUUUAAAACCUCAAAUCAAAACCCAUUUAUUUUUAAGAUAUGUAUCCUAAUCAAAACCCCUAAAUCAGAAAGUUUGAUCUAUCAACUAUUAACCUUAAUAUUCAGAAGAAGGAGUUGUUAACGGGGAUGUGGUUACUCGAGGGUCUCAAUUUUCUUUAAAGGAUGUCGAGGUGUUGGGUGGUGAAGUUGAAUUGGAUGCAGUAAGAUUUGAUUUCACAUUUCUUAAAAUUUGCCGGUCUGAUAUUCUGGAUUAGUAUACCUUCAUUUGAUUAAUUUAAUGGAGUGUAUUUAGAAUGGUGGCUACUUGUGCUGAAGCUGCUAUUGACUAACUGUAUCCAACUGAUAAGCAAAGAGUUCGCCAAACACAUAUUUUACACUGUUUUCGUGGGAACUGAAAUUAGUCUGAUGCCACAAAGACGCGUUCAAAGCUACAAGCCGCCGAAAUCGGUUCUUCUCACCUUGAUGUUUCGAUGAACAGUGUUAUACAUGAAGAACUGAAUUUUUGACAACCAUCCAGUGUUUAUUAGGUACUAGUUCAUUGAGUGUAGAGGCCGAAUUCCCGACAGUUGCAUAGCCUAUCGGCAUCUGGUUCAUUGUGAAUCACCUCUUAACUUUUGUAAUGUUGGUAUUACUUUAAAUCUUAAUUAGUAUUGUUUUUACUCUUAAUGUUUCUAUCUUUUGGUUUGUUCCAUAAACACGGGAGAUAAAUCUAUGUAUAUGGAGUUGCAUCAAAAUGUUAAUGCAAUUGUAAAUCUUGUCAAAGAUAACCACUUGUUUAGAUGUCACAAGGACGCGUUCAAAGCUACAAGCCGCUGAAAUAUUGAACUGGGACCUGAACUCAACAGGGGUAAAGCAGAGUUGGAAUGACUGAAGAGUAAAAUUGGCCGAAGAAGUCACUUCUACCUGCAUGAACAAUCAAAAUCAGAUACCUAAUGAAGAAAUACUUCUUCGAUGCAAGAAAGGAAGUUAGCUGAAAUGAGGAAAUACUUCUUAUGAGGAUCCAAGUGGUGGAGCAAGGAAGAGCUUAAAGGCUCUUAUGAAGCAUAUCAGGGCCAACAUUUUGCCUAUUUUAUUCGAUUUCUACUUACUAACAAGUGGGUCUCUACUAGGGCCAUGGAGAUGUAUUCCUCCAUCUAGUUGAUUUGAUUUAUAAUCAACUAAGUUUUUGACUUGUUAUUUGCGGUUAGAACGAUCUUCAGAUAGGUAUCGCUUCUGUUAUUGCAAUCGUUUUGAAUCAUGCAAAAGGUGCUUUAUAGCUUGGACGUCUUUAUUUACGUA